rnacentral:ncRNA from 1 species
CUCAACGGGGUGCUUUAACUUUAAGGCUGAGAAAAUACCCGUAGAACCUGAACCGAGUAAUAUCAGCGUAGGGAUUUGAGA